rnacentral:lncRNA from 1 species
GAAAAUCUUGUCUGCCUGGACUUUACAUACAUAUGUAUAGUACAUACAUGACUCUGCUAAUUACAAACAGAGGAGAUAACAAUUAGUAAAGGCAUUCAACAACAUAUGUAACAUUUCAAGGAAGGGGAAAUGGGUAAUAGUUGUUGAUGCUAGGGAAACUGGAAAGCUGGAGAAAGAUUAAUAGCAGAUUUUUUUUUGAAGGAUCAGGUGGGAAAGUGAUCUUGCUUUGUAUUUCCAUUGGCGAUGCUGACACAGAAAGUAGAGGAACACUGAUGAUGAAAUUUGGAGGUCCCAUUAAUACAGCUUUGAAGCCAAUGACCUAAAGUUUAAUGGAACUGUAAUAUUCAAUGAAGCUCAAAGAAUUAUACAGGAAAUGUAACAUGAACAUGGAGCAUUAGUGGAGAAAAUCGUACUCUUCUAACAAUAUGUACUAACUUUAAACCAAAAAAGGAUCCACAUUAUACUGUUUGACAUUAAAUUCUUGGAUCAGAUCCCUACCUGUUGUAAUCUAAUAGAAUUCCAAAGUAUAAUGAGCAACUUCUUAUUGAUGGGGAUAUUAAGAGAAAUAAGAUCGUGGCACUGCAGGAUGUUAUUGUCAAGUGUCUUAUUGUGGAGGUCAGCAACACAUGAAUACAGCUGGAGAAGAGGAAAAACUUACAAAAGAGAGAAAAGAGAAAAUUAUUUUUGUAUGCCUGUGAGAUUGAGCUUCAGUUGGUAG